UACGUAGGGGGCAAGCGUUGUCCGGAAUCAUUGGGCGUAAAGCGCGUGUAGGCGGCUUGUUAAGUUCCGUGUGAAAUCCCCAGGCUUAACCUGGGAAGUGCGCGGAAAACUGGCGAGCUUGAGUGCCGGAGAGGGUCGCGGAAUUCCCGGUGUAGCGGUGAAAUGCGCAGAUAUCGGGAGGAACACCAAUGGCGAAGGCAGCUCGCUGGGACGGUACUGACGCUGAGACGCGAAAGCGUGGGGAGCAAACA
rnacentral:rRNA from 1 species